AUGCUCACUUCAGCAGCACAUAUACUAAAAUUGGGAACCAUACAGAGAAGAUUAGCACGGCCCCUGAGCAAGGAUAACACGCAAAUUCAUGAAGCGUUCCAUAUUUUU